rnacentral:rRNA from 1 species
GAUCCUGGCUCAGAACGAACGCUGGCGGCAGGCCUAACACAUGCAAGUCGAGCGCCCCGCAAGGGGAGCGGCGGACGGGUGAGUAACGCGUGGGAACGUACCCUUUGCUACGGAAUAGCCUCGGGAAACUGGGAGUAAUACCGUAUGUGCCCUUCGGGGGAAAGAUUUAUCGGCAAAGGAUCGGCCCGCGUUGGAUUAGGUAGUUGGUGGGGUAAUGGCCUACCAAGCCGACGAUCCAUAGCUGGUUUGAGAGGAUGAUCAGCCACACUGGGACUGAGACACGGCCCAGACUCCUACGGGAGGCAGCAGUGGGGAAUCUUAGACAAUGGGCGCAAGCCUGAUCUAGCCAUGCCGCGUGAGCGAUGAAGGCCUUAGGGUUGUAAAGCUCUUUCAGUGGGGAAGAUAAUGACUGUACCCACAGAAGAAGCCCCGGCUAACUCCGUG